CAAAGGGCAUGUGAAAAAUUAUUUAUGCUUUUCUAAGCACAUAUGACUCGAAAUACACAACGAAUAAAAAUGGGAGGAAGAAAUUAACUCUCUGUCCCAAAUUUUUUAGCCCAACCAAGAUGAUUGGUUUUAGAAAUCGAUGUAAAAACCAUGCUUUGGAAAGAAGUCACCUCUCCACAUCAGUGAUAUUUUUGGAAAGAACCCAGAGAUUAACAUUUAUCAUGCUGAGAUUCGGGCAGCACAUCAUCAAGCCCUCCGUGGUCUUCCUGAAGACUGAGCUCUCCUUUGCUCUUGUGAACCGCAAGCCGGUGGUCCCAGGCCGUAUCCUUUUGAGCAGUGCCUUGGCCAUGGGUGCCUGUGUUCUGUGGAGACGCUGAGGAAGGUUGGCAUGCUCUGAAGGCCAGGUAGGAUGUUGCGCGGAUUUAUUCUGAAACCAGGCAGUGGAACGUAAUACGCUUGAUUGGUGUUGCAGAACUGCCGAAAAGGGUUGCUUAGCAACUGUGACCUUACAGGUGAAUUUCUAUUGACCUUUUCACCACAGAAAAUGUAUAAACAACAGGUGCUACUAAAAGCAUUUUAAAGUGUAUCUGAGAGGAUACUGUGUAAAUUUCAUAUUAUGCUAAAUAACACAUCCUGCUUCCCUUUUAAUAACGUCACUUAUUUUUAGAUGUGGUAACUUCUUUAUGGAGGAUUUUCAACUUCUUGUAGCUAAAUGUACACAAUUUGUCAAAUGGCAGCAGAAUUCUCUAUGAAGACUAUUAUUUUUUGGGGGGAACAGAUUGCUUUGAUUAAUUUAGGUAGGAAUGGAUUAAAUAAACCAUCUGUAUAGCAAACACUUUCUGAGGAAAAAUGAAUCCCCAUGUUGUAAGCAAAACUUAGUUUUUAGAAAUUUUAAGGAAACUUGAUUGUGCAAGAUGCUAAAUGCAUCUAUUUAGUUUAUUUUAUAAUGUUGUGUAUUAUUUCAUAGUUAGAACUCUGGCGCUAUGUAACUUGUACUGAUUUCAGUGGCUGGAGGUUGAACUUUUCAGAAAUAUUCAAGACUGAUCAUUUUCACAGAGGUUUAUGGUAAAAAUUUUAGUAGGCACUGUUAAGAAAUGGC
rnacentral:lncRNA from 1 species